UUUUGGACCCGACAACGUUUCUUCAAUUAGGUGUAUGCGAUAAAAAUAGGAAAGUGCCUUGAGUGUUAUACAUGUACAAGCUAUAAGUCGUGGGAAGACUGCCAAAGUAAGCUGGAAAAGACGACUUGUCAAAGCAGUUCAACGCAAUGUUGCAAGACGAACACUAAUUAUACAACGGGCUUAACAAAGACAUCUAAAUGUAACGUCUACCAGAAGUACUGUGAUGGAGAGUCGCCAGAARACAAAUGCAACUAUCUGCCGAUUUCAUCCUUUACAUUUUCAACAACAUGUUGCCCUGGAAACUUGUGCAAUGCUGGUGCGGGGAAUCAAGGAAGUCAGGCUCUUAUCAAGUCCUUGAUCGCUUUAGCAGUGAUGUUGCCGUUCCUUCAUUAGUCUUCAUUGUACCUUAUUCGUACUAAUUUUCGCGAGCCGACUUAAUUUCGCGACUGAUUUGGAACACAAAUAUUUCGCAAGCGUUAACUUUCGCCGCGUUUUUGAAAAAAGGAUAAAUUUAAUUUAAUUUCGCGAAAAUUAUAAAGAGCCUAACCUAAAUGGACGUUUUGAAGACUGCACGAAAGAUCAUUAAAAAGAGCUAUAUGUAAURUAGAGAAAAAAAGUGAGUGAUUCGGAUGAAAAAAUGUUUAAAGCAGAUUAAUUAAAUUUCGCGUGUUUCAUUUUCUUCUCGGAUCCUUUUUUCGCGAGGUUUUAAUUUAAAAAUCGCGAAAGUAAAGCCUCGCGAAAAAAUUAGUGCGAAUAAGGUAGUCCAUUUCUUUUGUUAUGUAAUGGUAAAACACGUUUGAGAAGAAAAAAUUACACGAGCCUUUUUUAGGGGAGGGUUGAUCAUAAAUACCCUGGAAACGACCUUGCAAUAGCAAAAUAAAAACUAUACUAAAAAACUUUCA